CAGGAGGUAACGGCCCUGCUAAUCAUGCCGCACCGUCCCCCUCCUUAGCCUUGCCUAGCGGGCAAUCCAGGCGUUGAUUCGGCCCUUCGGGCGGCGGACUGCCCGCCGGCCAGGGAGCGUUGAUAGCACCCUGUAUAGAGGCAUUGAGCUGCUUAAGAAAACCAAUCGUA
rnacentral:misc_RNA from 1 species